rnacentral:rRNA from 1 species
CCUACGGGGUGCAGCAGUGAGGAAUAUUGGUCAAUGGACGCAAGCCUGACCCAGCAACGCCGCGUGAAGGAAGAAGGCUUUCGGGUUGUAAACUUCUUUUGUCAGGGACGAAGCAAGUGACGGUACCUGACGAAUAAGCCACGGCUAACUACGUGCCAGCAGCCGCGGUAAUACGUAGGUGGCAAGCGUUAUCCGGAUUUAUUGGGUGUAAAGGGCGUGUAGGCGGGAAUGCAAGUCAGAUGUGAAAACUAUGGGCUCAACCCAUAGCCUGCAUUUGAAACUGUAUUUCUUGAGUGCUGGAGAGGCAAUCGGAAUUCCGUGUGUAGCGGUGAAAUGCGUAGAUAUACGGAGGAACACCAGUGGCGAAGGCGGAUUGCUGGACAGUAACUGACGCUGAGGCGCGAAAGCGUGGGGAGCAAACAGGAUUAGAUACCCGAGUAGUC